GUGUAUAAAUCACGGGGGGGUCUCAACAUUGGAUUUUGGGUACAGGUGUGCAGCUGGGAUUUUAAAAACACCCCCCAUUCAUAUAUUGAAUAAUUGUGAAAUCCCUACCUAUACAUAUAUUUCACAGCGAAAUCAUAACCCAUUCAUAUAUUUAUCAGCUCAAAUAGUACCUCCAAUCGGUCAAUUACUACCUAUUGAUAUAUUUCCUCGGUAAAAUUGCACCCCAUUGAUAUAUUUGACGGAUCAAAAAAGGGACCUAUUCCAGCGGCACAUAUGUAUAUACCUUUAUAUAGGAAGAGACCCCCCCGUG
rnacentral:lncRNA from 1 species